UCAGGGGUGUCCAGCAGGGUCGGGCCUGGUUAGUACUUGGAUAGGAGACUGCCUGGGAAUGGGGCCAUGACCCCUGCA
rnacentral:rRNA from 1 species